rnacentral:lncRNA from 1 species
AUCCUCUCUCAAACCCUGAUUGUCCCAUGCUGGUUAUUGCACCAAGUAAACCUGGGCCUAGUGUAGCCAAGGUCAAUCAAGCCCAAGUCUUCGAUAAACUCUAUGAACUUUUUGAAGUCAAUAUUAUCCACGUAUUAGCUCCCACCCAUCUUCUUAUGGAUCCCAACUAUACAGUUAAAGUCUCCAGCGAUAAGAGAAGG